UCGUAUUUGUAAACAUAGCCUUAUUGUGAAUAAGAACAGUUCUGAAACCAAAACAGAUGCAAAAACAGUAGAAGACUUUAACAACCACUCAGUCACUGUGUUGGACCAGACCUUAUCACAUCAAAUUGGUCUCGGCUCUCCGAGAUAGGCCGAGUAGUCACGAUUGUCGACAAGACUCUUCCAUGGACUGUAGUCAGGGUUGCUGAACACUGUCACUCGACCAGACAAGUGAAAUGUUGACUCACCCGUGACGGGGCUCAAUGAAUAUGUGUUUUUUUUGUCAUAUGAUCCCCAGGAAUGCAGGCGAUGACACCGUACCACUCGACCUCGGUCAUAUUCAACUGAUUUGAGUAAACGUUACAUGCAGGUAGCUGAUUUCCCUUGAUUUGGGGCUUUACCAUGUAUAAACUACCGGUAUGGUGAUAAUAAACAUCUUAGAAACUACA